AACGAACGCUGGCGGCAGGCUUAACACAUGCAAGUCGAACGCCCCGCAAGGGGAGUGGCAGACGGGUGAGUAACGCGUGGGAACGUGCCCUUCGCUUCGGAAUAUUCCCGGGAAACUGGGAGCAAUGCCGGAUACGCCGAAUUGGGAAAGAUUUAUCGGCGAAGGAUCGGCCCGCGUUAGAUUAGGUAGUUGGUGGGGUAAUGGCCUACCAAGCCUACGAUCUAUAGCUGGUCUGAGAGGAUGAUCAGCCACACUGGGACUGAGACACGGCCCAGACUCCUACGGGAGGCAGCAGUGGGGAAUCUUGGACAAUGGGCGCAAGCCUGAUCCAGCCAUGCCGCGUGAGUGAAGAAGGCCUUAGGGUUGUAAAGCUCUUUCGCCGGUGAAGAUAAUGACGGUAGCCGGAGAAGAAGCCCCGGCUAACUUCGUGCCAGCCGCCGCGGUAAGAC
rnacentral:rRNA from 1 species